ACUAUCCUUGUUAUGGGGUGAGGAGCUGUUCAAUGGAUGUAAGGUGAGGACAGCCCUGCUAACAACCACAUCGACACUUUUCACAUCACUUGGGAGACUUCCCAGGACCUGGUGCAAUUUUUCGAAAU
ensembl:snRNA U4atac minor spliceosomal RNA